ACGAGCGCAACCCCUGUCUUUAGUUGCCAUCAGGUAAUGCUGAGCACUCUAAAGAGACCGCUGGUGACGAGCCAGAGGAAGGUGGGGAUGACGUCAAGUCCGCAUGGCCCUUAUGCCCUGGGCUGCACACGUGCUACAAUGGUCGGUACAGAGGGACGCCAAACCGUGAGGUGGAGCAAAUCCCAAAAAGCCGACCCCAGUUCGGAUUGCAGUCUGCAACUCGACUGCAUGAAGUUGGAAUCGCUAGUAAUCGCGAAUCAGCANGUCGCGGUGAAUACGUUCCCGGCCCUUGCACACACCGCCCGU
rnacentral:rRNA from 1 species